AUUAUGUCUGUUUUUAAGAUUUUUAAAGAGGAAGUAGAAAAUGAAUUAGAAAAGAAAAUUAAAAUAUUGAGAAGCGAUAACGGAAGGGAGUAUUGCAAUAAAAUGUUUUCUGAUUUUCUAGCAGCUUCCGGCAUCAAACAUCAGACCAGCACACCGUACACUCCUGAGCACAACGGUUUAGCUGAGCGCAUGAACCGGACGUUGGUUGAACGUGCAAAAUGCAUGUUAUUUGAAGCAAAGCUGCAAAAACAUUUGUGGGCAGAAGCAGUCACAGCUGCGGCCUAUGUUGUCAACCGAUCACCUUCACGGGUUUUGAGCGAGGUAACCCCGUAUGAAAAAUGGACGGAUUUCAGAUCCAUUGACUGCUGAAGAAGCUUUGUCUGGCAGUGAUGCUGAGAACUGGAAAUCAGCAAUGGAUGAAGAGUACCAGUCUUUAUUAGAAAAUAAUACAUGGGAAAUUACUACUCUACCUGAAGGUAAACGUGCUAUACCAUGUAAAUGGAUUUUUAAAAAGAAAACUAAUGAAAAUGGAGAAUUAUCAAAGUAUAAAGCACGACUUGUGAUUAAAGGUUGUUCACAAAAACCUGGAAUAGAUUACACAGAGGUAUUUUCACCCGUAAUAAGGGAGACAUUGAAGAAGAGAUUUAUAUGAUGCAACCAUCACACUAUGGCAACGGUGAUCA